UCGCGCUGUUGGAUGAACCGACGUUCGAUUAGCUAGUUGGUGAGGUAAUGGCUCACCAAGGCGACGAUCUGUAGCUGGUCUGAGAGGAUGAUCAGCCACACUGGGACUGAGACACGGCCCAGACUCCUACGGGAGGCAGCAGUGGGGAAUAUUGGACAAUGGGCGCAAGCCUGAUCCAGCAAUGCCGCGUGUGUGAAGAAGGCCUUCGGGUUGUAAAGCACUUUCAUCWGGGACGAAAUACUACCGGUUAAUAACCCGUYGUGGUUGACGGUACCUGAAGAAUAAGCACCG
rnacentral:rRNA from 1 species